CCUACGGGGGGCAGCAGUGAGGAAUAUUGGUCAAUGGGCGCAAGCCUGAACCAGCCAAGUAGCGUGAAGGAUGACUGCCCUACGGGUUGUAAACUUCUUUUAUAAAGGAAGAAAGUGAGCCACGUGUGCCUUUUUGUAUGUACUUUAUGAAUAAGCAUCGGCUAACUCCGUGCCAGCAGCCGCGGUAAUACGGAGGAUCCGAGCGUUAUCCGGAUUUAUUGGGUUUAAAGGGAGCGUAGAUGGGUUGUUAAGUCAGUUGUGAAAGUUUGGGGCUCAACCGUAAAAUUGCAAUUGAUACUGGAAGUCUUGAGUACAGUUGAGGUAGGCGGAAUUAGUGGUGUAGCGGUGAAAUGCUUAGAUAUAACGAAGAACUCCGAUUGCGAAGGCAGCUUACUAAACUGCGACUGACAUUGAUGCUCGAGAGUGUGGGUAGCAAACAGGAUUAGAUACCCGAGUAGUC
rnacentral:rRNA from 1 species